rnacentral:misc_RNA from 2 species
AACGCAAAUUGCGCUCGAGGCUUCGGCCAAGAGCAUGUCUGCCUCAGCGUCGGCUACUACCCUCAACUAAGUUUCCUAUCAUUGAUAGGGGAUGCCAGUUGGAUCUGGCCGUCCGGUUUACCUUUCAGGUUGCCGGUCAGCUGAAAUACAUUCACGCUCUGGGGGCUGCUUUCCUCGAAAGGCUACUUUCGAGGGGAGGUGAGUUCCGAUUUGGUAGGUGACCUUUGCCGGUUGCAUGCCUUCGUUGCCCGCUAAGCUUCCCAGUAGUCGUUGUGCAGGACGCCUUUUGGCUUUCGACCUGAGGUCAGGCAAGAACACCCGCUGAACUUAA